CUCAGAGGAGAGACAGGCAAACCCACAGGAGUAGAGGCUCAGAGGAGAGACAGGCAAACCCACAGUAGUAGAGGCUCAGAGAGACAGGCAAACCCACAGUAGUAGAGGCUCAGAGGAGAGACAGGCAAACCCACAGUAGUAGAGGCUCAGAGGAGAGACAGGCAAACCCACAGCAGUAGAGGCUCAGAGGAGAGACAGGCAAACCCACAGCUUGGUGGUUACAGAUCUGUGUGUCUACUCCUUACCUGGUGGAACUCUGGGAUACCUUCAGGACUGCAGGUGGGCUGGGUCUUCUGUCCAGGUGAGUUGGGUCUUCUGUCCAGGUGAGCUGGGUCUUCUGUCCAGGUGAGCUGGGUCUUCUGUCCAGGUGAGCUGGGUCUUCUGUCCAGGUGAGUUGUGUCUGCUCUGGGGCGUGGUUCUGUCUGUCCAGGUGAGUUGUGUCUGCUCUGGGGCGUGGUUCUGUCUGUCCAGGUGAGUUGUGUCUGCUCUGGGGCGUGGUUCUGUCUGUCCAGGUGAGCUGUGUCUGCUCUGGGGCGUGGUUCUGUCUGUCCUGCAGGUGAGUUGUAUCUGCUCUGGGGCGUGGUUCUGUCUGUCCUGCAGGUGAGUUGUAUCUGCUCUGGGGCGUGGUUCUGUCUGUCCUGCAGGUGAGUUGUGUCUGCUCUGGGGCGUGGUUCUGUCUGUCCAGGUGAGUUGUAUCUGCUCUGGGGCGUGGUUCUGUCUGUCCAGGUGAGUUGUAUCUGCUCUGGGGCGUGGUUCUGUCUGUCCUGCAGGUGAGUUGUAUCUGCUCUGGGGCGUGGUUCUGUCUGUCCUGCAGGUGAGUCUGAUGGGUCAGGUAAGUGAUGUCCUCCCACAGCCACAGGUGAGCUCACCUGGAUGUUACAGACAACAGCACC
rnacentral:lncRNA from 1 species